AAGGGAGGGGAGCAGGGAAGGUCUUCAAUAGCCCAAGGAAAAACACAAACUAAGACAUUGCUGGACGCUAGGAUCCAGCAGUUACCUGUGUGUGUCCGUCUACGAAGCUGCAAGCCGGACACGCUUUGUUGCAGAAAGGAUGCAACCAGCCAGGUGACGUCCCUGUUACUCAGCCUGCUUUCGGCCCUCACUCCCCCGGCUCUCCCCGCCACUCCCUCUGAACACCUCCUAGGAACACUGUUCCUACAUGCUGCUGGAAAGGAAGGAAAAACAGCCUUUUUCUCUCCACUCUUUGAACAAGCUCAUUUGGGGAGAGGGAAUACUCCUCCUGCUCAGCACAGCAUGAAGAACUAUUUCAACUAUUUCAGAGACUCAAAGCGUCCACUGUAGUCGGGUUUUUUUUCUUCGCCCAAACUCACUAAUGUUCGGUGCAUGUCUGAUUGCAAUUAAUGCUGUCAUGCUUUGCAGACCACAUGGGAAAUCAUCUACAAGUGGGACUGAAUAAUGAAUAGAACAAACUGGUGCAUUCUUUCUAUGCUGCCAGUCAUGAAAGGUCUUCUAAUUGAGUUACAGCUUUCACAGUAAGCUUUGGAUCUUGCAAUGAACCCAGUGAUAGGAGGUGAUUUGUACACUUUUAUUUUGAUUCAGUGACCUAAAAUUUUAAUACAGUUAGAAAAACGCAAAGGGUAAGAUUGCAGUGUCUGUAAACAGGUACACACAGCAGAACUUUUCACAUUCCUCACAUAACAUGGGUCUAGAUUACUAUUUAGCAACAGGAAUAAACAAUAGCCAAAAUAUUUUUUAUUUUCAUAAGAAAUGCUCGCAAAGAUCACACAGACCGUUAUAAACCACAAGUUAAUUUGAAAUUAAAAUAACACUUACAAUAAUGAAGUGUUACUCUAUGGUUCCAUUGAGAGAGACACAAACUGAACAGUAACAAGCUGUCUCUUUCUUCCCAAGGCGUUUGCACUGAUACGCAUAAAAGAUGGUGUCACAUAGCAACACACUGAUUCAACAUGUAUGGUAGCAAUACAGUUCUCUUCAAACAUGUCUGCUGACGUAGAAGUAUUACUCACCAGUGAUUACUUCUAAUAACGGACAGGAAAUUAAUUUCUCAUACUUACAUGUGCUCACUUUUGGGUUUUUUUUUAGUGAGGCUGUUCUGGACUUGGGUAUACAGUUCAUUGGGAAAAAAAUUAAGUAGGCAACCAAACAGCUGACAUCUUUCAGUGAGAACAAAGGCUUUAAUCUGGCAAAUGGGAAAUGAAUGAGCCCAUGUGCUGGAAUCAAGUUGUUGAGGAUCUGACUAUUUUCCCUAAAGGCGUUGCUCCCAACACUUAGCACCGGGCAUAAUCCUUGGUGUAAUACAAAUAAAUCAGCUUAAUGAAGAGAUAGAUUUGAUUGACUACGUGGAAGAGCCUGUGAAAAUAGCCUCGCAAUAGGACUAGGAAGUCAAAAUAUAAGGGGAAAUCCAUCUAUGUAAAAGACAGAAAACCCUGACACAUUAUUCUGAAACUUUAUCUUUUUCCCACUGUACAAAGACUAAGAUCAACUUCUGUGAAACAAAAGCAGAGAGGCAAUGCUUUGGAUUAAUUACUUCUCACUAAAGCAUCUGUGAUCCACUCCUUCCAGGAAGAAAAAAUUUUGAACCCAUUGCUGUGUGCACUGCUGGUUCAGGUUGCCAUCUCACGGGGACACAGAUACUCUUUUUGCUUUGUCACUGAUGCCCACAGUUAUUGCACCAGCUUCCUUUGCCAAGCUGAAACUAUAACUCAAAAUCACCUGCCUUACGUUUGUCCCAGAAAAAAAUGCAAAUUUGUCAUGUUUCCUCAGUAAUUUUUUUUCCAUUUAGUGAUAUUUUCAAAUCUUUGAAGUGCCACUACCUAGUAUUGUUUAGGUGAAUGGAUUCACCUUAUUAAAACCACUUUACCACAGGAGUACGGUUAGUGAGGAUGCUUUCUCUACAUAUCCACAAUUUAUUGUGCUUGAUUAUAGAUCUGUGGAGGACCUCAACUAGUGAGUUAUUGGCAGCAUAAUAAUCCAUCAGUAAGUUCCUAACUGAGCACAGGAGCAAUUUUAGAAUUAUCCUCUUUCACCCAGCAAAAUAAAAUCUGUAUGGGGAUAGGAUGUUCCUGUGCCUAGAUCAAUGUGGAAACUCUAAAGAGAGAGGAGACCACAUUGACAUAAGGUAAAUUAGCAGAAGUACAUUUCCCAAGAGGAGUAAAGGGACCAAGCAGCCCUCUCCCUCAGACACCAAAAUAGUUUUAAUGCAGAGCUCCAGCAGUUUCUGGAAGGGAUUACAUGACCUUCACUGCCCACCAUAGCAAACCUGACUCUGACACACAGCUUCUCUUCCAGCUCUGUGUUUGUAUUACUCCCUUAAGUGUCUCUUUAUAAUGUACAGAGGCAGGGGGUAUGAGAAUUAGGGACUUCUUUCCCUAAUUCUUUCUUUUAUCCAUUGUCAUCAUUAGAUGAGUCACUUUCUUCUGUAAUCCAAGUAGAUACGUGUCUGUGUGAUUAAUGUGGGUGAAGGCACACACUUUCCCAGAGUUGCUUAGUGCAGUUUCACAGCCUGAAUAUAUGUGUAUUAAAGGAAAAUAAAAAUUUAGAAUCAAUAUUUGCUGAAGAUUUCUCUGGAAAUGGGCGUGCCUUUACAGGCUGAAUUUUCUCCUGCUGUGUGUUUUCAGUGGAGGAUGGAGUGAAGGCCUUUGUUUAUCCCUGAAUGCAGCUAAAAUGAGGUGUGAACAUGUUAAUUCUUGCUUCUCGGGUUGGUAUUUGGCAGAUCUGUUAAAGGCAACCAAAUCACAGCCUGCAUUCUUAUGUACUACUUGAAGGAACACACCCUGUACGUUGUUUGUAUGAUCAGUAAAUUAUAGAAGU